rnacentral:rRNA from 1 species
UACAGAGGUGGCAAGCGUUGUUCGGAAUUACUGGGCGUAAAGGGCGCGUAGGCGGCCUUCUAAGUCGGACGUGAAAUCCCCAGGCUUAACUUGGGAACUGCGUCCGAUACUGGAGGGCUUGAGUGCGGGAGAGGGAUGUGGAAUUCCAGGUGUAGCGGUGAAAUGCGUAGAUAUCUGGAGGAACACCGGUGGCGAAGGCGGCAUCCUGGACCGACACUGACGCUGAGGAGCGAAAGCCAGGGGAGCAAACGGG